GUGAUAAGGUUGUAUGUACAGCCUUUUUGUGGAAGUGAACCUUCUGCUAUAAAUCAUCAAAUUGCGGGAACACCCUAAAGCUAUCAUAACCAAGUAAAUAUAGUAAUAUGUUUAUGGCACAGGUAAUGACUCGUGGUAUGGUAAAAUCAUGAUAGAUAAUUUAAUGGGUUAUCCGCAGCCAAGCACCGUUACUUUGUUAAUUAAAGGGCCCACGUGGGUUUAUUUUUAAUAAUCUAGUAUUUGGUGUGCAGUUCAUCGACUAAAUGUUGGUUGGUGUUAUAAUUGGAGAUUAUCCGUUAUAAUGCUUAAGAUAUAGUCAGGCCUCAUUUGAAAGAAUGCA
rnacentral:ncRNA from 1 species